GGAAACCCUGCUUAAACCCUGGCAACGUAAUUAUGCAGAUAGCGCUCUUUCUCAAUCUCCAUCUCUUAUAUCCAAUUUUGGACAAAGAAUUUAAGGUUUGAAAACAGAGAUGGGCUUGACCAAUUUCAUUAUCACGGUGGCCGGCGUCAGCGCUGUCACUCUUCUAUUGAGGAGCGAUGUGAAGCAAUCGGCUACCAUUUUUAGGCGCAACGUCAAGCAUAUACGCUAAUGGCUCGAAGAAGAAUCUGCCGCCGCCUCCAAGUAUGUUCUAUGACUAAUCGAUUUAUAUAUUUGGUUUUAUUGUUGGUUCUAUUUCGUUUUCAGUUUGGUUUGUGUCCAUGAAUGGUUUUGCAUAAACUUGAAUUGAAUGAUUUUACUUCUGAGCGGCAAUUCGAAUUACAUGAACACAAUGCCUGCAUUUUCAAUCUUGUGGAGGAGUUUAUGGAGGCCAUAUCAUGUAAUGUAGCCGAGAGUUGGUUAGUGUUUAGAGACCAAGGACUAUUGUUUAUGAGGUUGUAGCUUAGCAUACACCUAGUCACCUAUCUGCAACUGUUUUUCGGUUCUGUGUUUAUUAGCUGAUUGAUCCAUUAUCUUUUGUGCCCUCUGAAGGUGAUAUUUGAGCAGUUUCCAAGUUAUUUCCUUGUCAUUAAGCUUACUGAUCUAUAGCAGUUACAUGAGAACCCUAGUCACAUAUGGAAUGUAGACUGGUGGUGCAGUACCAUAGACAGUAUCAAAAGGGAUUUUAUUGAUAGAGCUGUGAAAAAUUUUUACUAUACCAAUACUCUGCCAAAGAAAGCAACCAUUUGAACCAAUUUUGACUUUGAGGAUGUUCCCAUGUAAUGCACCUCAAUUAAGUCUCUACACACUUAUUGACUGCUUCUGUUUGGUUAUUUGUCAAAAGACAUUUAUAACUCUACUCUUUGUAGUUUCGAAAGUUCGUGCCAAAACUUGCUGAGAAAUCAUCGACAAUGGCAGCUGGUAUACCAUGUAAUUUGGAGAGAUUGUCAAGAAAUGCUCAACCAAUAUUGGCAGCAAUGGAUGUUUUAAGUGUUAACCCUAAGAAUUGGGCAUACUUACUGAGCUAUGCACUACCACAAACAUUGCAUCCUUGCCUCCAAAGUCUAUAAAAUCCACUUAUUCUUUCUGGAAUAGGCAAGGGUUGCAUUAGGCCAGGAUAUGGUACAUUUUCUAUCUUGCAAGUUGCAUCUACGAAAAACUUCACAUUUUCUUACAAACUUCAUUACAUCGUUCUCUAGAUCCUUUCAAUAAAAAACAUUGGAGAUUCUUUUAACUGUAACGUGUACUCUUAAGUGGCCCCCACUUGAGCUGGCAUGAUUGAGCUCAAUGAUUUGCAGCAAGAUUAAGAAAAAAAGAGUUGAGAAGGGGAUGAUAUAUAGAGCACAGACUAUGGCACAAGUUGGAUAAAAAUUAUUCUAAAAGCAACAGUAUAUUGAAUCCUAAGCAGCAGAGUAAAUUAUUUGUUGGAAUUACUUCCUGAAAUUUUUGUUCUUUAUAGUUGGAAGGAGUUAUCACACGAGAAAGGCACAUAAUCUUGAAUGUUUAAAAUUUGUAUAGUCUCUUAUUGCUAGAAUUAAAGGGUAUGCAUUUCUUGGUUGUGAAAAUAUACAUUUCCCUUGUGUUGGAAUUGAAAAUCUUGCCUUUUCCAGCCUAGGAGAUUGUAAAUUUGAAGCAUCAUUACAAAUAUUGAUAUCAGCAGUUGUGGUUCUUGUGCACUUUCUAGCUUUCAUGUUUAAAUUGGAUAAGGAUUGCAGUUAUGUCAACAUUCAGAAGUGCUUUGGGUUUUGGCAUCAAUUGUAUUCAUUGAAAGUCCUUUUUCAUAGUUAUCUGAAGGCUAAAGAUGUCACUUCCUGGCUAGCUUGCUGGGAGAAGAAUUAAGUGUAGAAUCAUAUUGAAUUAAUAUAGGUUAUGGCAUAUAUUUAACAUUUCUUGUUGCGUAUUAUGUAUUGCCUUUUUGCUGCUUUACAUGGUUGUAAAUAUCGUCCUUGAACAAGAGCAAGAGAUUCUCACCACCAAGGAGUUUAGAUGACUUAUCCGGAUAUCAAGAUACAAAUGCUUGACAAAUACUGAACUAAAAAAAAAACCUAUGUUACGUUAUUACUACAAAGUACUUGGUUUAAUUUUUGGAUUAUCAACUUGCUUUUUGGGCAUUCAUUCUAACGUAAGAUGAAGUUAGCCAAGUGUUUAGCCUGCCCACACAGAGCUAAAUCUUGGUCCACAAAGUUCCAAAUGCGACAAUUGGCCAGACAGUUGACCGGACCCAACCACAUAAAGACAAGAAGCAAAAGCUGUGCUGGCUUAUCCUGAAAAUGAUGAAACUCUUGGUAACUUGCUUUUUAUGCACGCUAAUAUGAGACUAUUGUCUACAUUCAGAGCUUCAGAGAACACAACACCCAAGGAAAUGGAAUCAAAGGUUCAUGAAAAAAAAUCCCCAAGGAGGACAACCGCUAGCGUCUAUAUAAAAACGCUUGCAACUUGAGACAGUACAGUAUUUUCUUUACAUUUGAUGGAGUUUAGUUAAAAUAAGUCUCGAUUUAAUGUCCAUUGAUGUCCGCUUCUAAAAUUUCUUAAAUUUUGUUUACCCUUUUUGCAGUCACCUAAUAUUUUGAUAUGUAUGUAACCAGAAUUAAAUUAUACUGAUAUUUUUUAAUGUAGUUGUGUUACAUUUUUU
rnacentral:misc_RNA from 1 species